CCAACGGCCCUCUUUAGGGCCACAAUCUGUCCCCCGAAUACCAUA
rfam:Ancylostoma duodenale strain Zhejiang A_duodenale-1.0_Cont15306.1, whole genome shotgun sequence.